UACGAAGGGGGCUAGCGUUGCUCGGAAUCACUGGGCGUAAAGGGUGCGUAGGCGGGUCUUUAAGUCAGGGGUGAAAUCCUGGAGCUCAACUCCAGAACUGCCUUUGAUACUGAAGAUCUUGAGUUCGGGAGAGGUGAGUGGAACUGCGAGUGUAGAGGUGAAAUUCGUAGAUAUUCGCAAGAACACCAGUGGCGAAGGCGGCUCACUGGCCCGGUACUGACGCUGAGGUGCGAAAGCGUGGGGAGCAAAGCAGG
rnacentral:rRNA from 1 species